GCGGUGCUGGUCUAGCUCGGUAGGACGCCAGCUUCCCAAGCUGGUUAUCGCGGGUUCAAAUCCCGCGCACCGCA
rnacentral:tRNA from 9 species